UUGCCCCCAUUGAUCACUCGCUUCCCCCUUAGGCCGGGCUGAUUACACUGCCGCUGUUUUUACAGGAAAAAAGAGAGACGAGAAACAACGAAAACUCACGAGGAGGAAAAGUGAUGCUAAAAGUCUCUAUGGAUUUAACUUUUGGGAGCAACGCACAGCACAGCAGCUCUAAACAAUGCGCAGCCAGAAACCCAGAGAGCCAUGGGAACAGACUGACAACACAAGGGAAUGCAAACUGAGGCACAGAGAGAUGAAGUGACCCGCCAAGAGCCAUACAGGGAGCUAAUGGCAAAGCCAGGAAGAAGGGAUGAACCAACUAAGAAAAGCUCAAGAUGCAUAGAUCAGACACACACGGAAAGAAGCUCCAAACGGCAGCAAGAGUUUAGCUGCAGCAAAGGGCUAGUAAAAAUUAACAUAGGAGAAGAACUCCCAUAUCUGCCAGCUUGCUUGAGAGAGGCUGCAUCUUUUCACUGCAACUAAGAGAGCUCCCUGCUGUAUCUACAUGCACAAGCUGAAAAGACAAAUGUUCUCUGUUCAUGCUGACUCAUGCUUACAACUGAUUGAAAACAAGCUGUGCAAUUCAAUAGACAGGCAUUACGGUCCAAGUUGCAUUACAGGAGCCUGUCACAAAAACUGACAGAUGAUUUGAUAUGUGCAAAAAGAGGCCGCAAUCUCGAGCAGCAUUAGAAGCACAGUUGCAUUCUAAUUCUCCUCGGUCGGGGGUUUCAGAGGAGCAAGAAAAGUCUAUACACAGUGUUCAGGCAUGUUCUAUUAUUGCAGUCUAUUUUGUCCUUCAGUUACGCUUAUAGUUAGAUGAGUGACACAGGGAGGCUCCAGAUUUUUCUCUCUGCAGACAGACCGACCAAAUCUGUUCAUUUUAUGUCGUUUGACUUAGCUGAAUUUUUCCUAAACUGCCAGAAACAUUAACUCCACCUGGGAGCUGGAAACCCAGGUGUGUCACAGAUCACCAGCCAUAAAUAUUCUACAAUCAGACUUUCCUGACAAUUUUGCUAUCAACGCACACAGCGGGGGGAACAAAACACACAACUCACUCUCCUGUAGCUGCAAUGGAAGCGGAAACACACACUUUUUUCUGUCACUGAAAGGCAGUAUAAUGCAAUGACAAAGAGCCAUUAAGUGACAAGAGGCUAUUCUAACCAUGCCCACAGUAUGGCUUGGUCUACACUACAAAGUGCUGCUGGCAUAAUUAUGUCAGCUAGGACCCUAGUCAAUACAGCCAUGCCAGCAAAACCCCUGGUGUAGAUGCAAUUACAUUGGCUCACGCGUACUUUUGGUCAGCACAGCUAAUGUCCUUUGGGGAAAUGGUGCAGCUAUGCUGGCAGAACUCCUUUGGCUGCUAUAUGCUGCAUCUCCAUUACGGGGCUUUUGCCAGCACACUGUAGCUAUUCUGAUAAAAAGUUCCGUAAUGUAGACAAGGCCCGUUUCUCCAACUGGGGUCUGCGGACCCCUUGGGGUCUGCAAGGGUACUCCAGGGGUCCGCGGACCCUGCUGAUCAAUUCCUCCCCACCCUCCUGCACACCAGGAACAGCUGUUCAGGGUGUGCAGAAGGUGCUGGGAUGAAGCAUGCUUGGGGGACGGGGGCGGAAUCACAUCCGGGGCCAUAAGCCCCACUAAUCAACUCCUCCCCAUUUUUCCCAGUGCCUCCUGCACGCCAGGGAAUGGCUGCACGCAAUGGAAGUGGAAAAACACACCAGGGAACAGCUGUUCUGUUGAGUGCAGGUGGGAGGGAGGGGGAGGAGCAGAGACCGGGCGUUUUAAGGGAAGAGGGUGAAAAGAGGCAGGGAAGAGGAAGGGCGGAGCGGGGGCGAGACAGAGUGGUGUGGGGGCAAGGCCUGGGAAUGAGCGGGGGGCUUGGGGGUCUGCAAAAAAAAUUAAAUCAAAAUGGGGGUCCUUGAGUUGCUAAAGUUUGAGAACAGCUGCUAAAAUAUAUUAUGAACUUUAGUUCUAACUUAUUUAAAACAAAAAGCUUACUGCAUCUCUAGUUAUUGUUUUUAAAAGCAUUCUUGAUGCAAAUAUUAACUACCUGCUUCUUUAAGCAACAGCUGAAAAGGACACUACCAAGAAGUAAUGAGGUCCUAGAAGCAUCCUGAAUCCACUGGUUCAAAGGACCGAAGGGAGGUAUUUUCAGCACCCCAACAUUAACAGCUGACACCACUUAUGCAUUAGAAAAGGGAGUUAUCUUUAAAAUGUUAUGCAUGAAUUUGGCAAAUGAUUUUAAUGUUAUGAAACUGGAUACAUAAACUUCCCAAUUCAAUCAACAUACCUUACUUCUAACCUGCUGUGCCCUCUGUUAUUCCAGUCCUAGCCCCACAAGACCUCAUUACUGAGUGUAGCGUUCUCUAAUACUACAGUUCUAGACUCUGAUAAUGCACUUCCAUCCUGAGCCGCAGCUCCACCACCUGGAGACUCCUGCUCACAAUUCUCAUGUGCCAAUGGUGGGGCUCUCCUAAGCAGAUAGCUAGAACCUGUGGCAAACUGACUGAAGCUUUGGCAAUAUGGAUAAAUAUCCACUAGGUAUUAGGUUUAGACCAAACUUAUCUUCACUUGUAGCUUAACCCAGUUUUAGACUCGGGUCUUAAGAAGUCUUAAGAAAAUUCGAUUUGGCAUAAAACUUGGCAGGGACAAACUAGAGACUAAGUGACACCUUCUGAAACAAUUAUGCUGGCUAGCAAGGCAGAAUCCUUAGAAAGUUGCAGGCAACAACGCAGCUUUUGGCAAACUUCAACAUUCUUUCUUGGAUGAUUAUGUUAGUUACAUCAACAUAUGAUCCCAAUUCUUCUACCACAAUUAAAGUACCGGGAGCCAAGGAAACCAGCAGUUUACUCUUAAGCGGGAAGAGGCAGUUUAGCAAAGGGUAAAAGUUUGCCAGAACUCUCCAGAGGCACUGAAGAGAAAUGAAAAAGAAUGCAUCUACUAUGGACUCACUCAUCUGUGUUUUGGCCACAUGGCGAUUCAAUACAUUUAUAUGUAAAUGCACUCUUAUUAGAGAAAUGCUAAGGGCUCCAAUUCUAAUUUUAGGAACAUAAUUGAAUAGGCUGUAUCUUAUAAAACCUGCUGCAAUGCAUUCACAAGAUGUAGGCUGACUGUACAGGUUAUAUACCCUGUGUGAGUUCAGACACUGGGCCACUAGGUCUAUAUGAGAUUAUACUUCCAGCUGCUGAUAAUCUAACUGUUAAGAGGGGAAGCCACAUAACAGGCAAUUUCACACCUGCCAUUCUAAUGGAAAAAAAACUGGGACUAAAACAUUUCAAAGGUUAAAGUCAUGUUUAAACCAAACCAGAACCAAACAGAUUUGACACUUCAAAUCAGAGUAAAGAGAUCAGUGGUGGAAGUUUUCUUGAUAUCAGGAAUCAGACGAAGAAAGAAAAAGAGAAAAAAAGAUGGUAGUACGGUAUUCAAGUUCUGCUCAUAAUUCCAGAAUGGCUGGUUGUUUCUGCUAAAAUGAUCCACAGUGAAACAGUCAAUAUUAACAACGGCAUUAUUGGAUAUCAGAGUCAAAACUCUACUUGAGGGGAAGGGGAGAGUAUAAACCUGAGAGAGCUAUUGUUUCAGUUAACCUACAUACUCAAGACAACAUUGUAUCAAAGGUCUGGAAGCUUAGUUUAAAUUUAAAAAAAAGCUUAAAUCCUGAAGAAACUAAUGGGACCAGCAGAAAAAUGCUGGCACUACCUAAUACUAGCUCAAUCCAUCACUUGCUUGAAACUCAAAACUGCACAUCAAUGAACAGGUCAAGAGUGACUGUCACUAAUAGAAACUGAGGAAUCUGAGUUGUUCAAAUUAUCUGCACAUUUUAAAAUGUAACCUAACUAGAGUUAUCAAAAUACAAGUUAUUAUUAGGGGCAUUUAACCCUGAGAUCAUUUUAACCUUGAAAAAUUAAAAGGGUAUUCUUAAAACCUCUUAUCCUCAGUAUCCAGGGCAAUCAGUGCUGAAUUAAUGCAUCAAAAUAAUGGAAGAUUUGCCCUAUGUCAGGAAUUGUAGAAUCACAAAAGUUGGAGAUGGGAAAGAUCCAUCAGGUCAGUAAGUCCACUAUCCUCAGCCACUGAAAGUUUGUUUCCUACCAUAAAUUAGCCUCAGUUCAGAUAAAGCAUCCAGUUUUCUAUAAGCUUUCUACUUUUCUCCUGUAUGGAACUGGGAGUCAAUACUCCUGGGUUGUAAUCCAAGCUCUGUAAUACAGAUACACUAUACCUCCCUUUUCCCAUCUGUAAAAUGGGGAUAAUGCCUACCCCAAUGAGGGAGAGGACAAAGUUUAAUUUUUGUAAUAACCUCAGUGAAAGGCACUAUAUUUAAGCUCAUGCAACCGAAGCACAAAGACAUAAAAGCUAAUCUUUGGUUCAGCCAUGAUUGGAAUCUGGAAUCCCAACAGUUCCAAAUCUUUUGCUCUGGCCACUAUGUCACACAACACUAUCAUUUGGCUGUGAAUCGAAGGCUGCUACCCAUUAUUAUUUCUAGAGUUCCAUUAAAUAUUCCUACCAAUUCUGACUUUAAUGCCCAGCUCAUUACAUCUCCACUCACCCCUGUCAAUGGCAGGACUGAAAGGAAAGAAACAUAGGCAGAUGGAGGCCUGUGAAGCAGAAAGGCACCACCAAGGAGAUUAAAAUUAUUCUGCAGCAAUGACAGCUGCUCUGAAACUGUGCAUUACGUAGGUGCUUUGCUUUAAUACAAUGAACUCCAAAUUUAGCAGAAGCCAACAAAACAGAUGCGAAAUAAACCUAAUACGUUAUUUUUUAACUAUGGUGCAGGCUGUUUCAACCAAAAUAGAACACAUCAUCUGCUCCCCUUUAGAAAUAAUUCAGUACAUUAGAGACCUUGAUUCACCUCUCUGCAGAUAAAAAUUAAGUUUGAAAACUCUAUGACUAAUCACAGGAUGCAGAAGAGGCUCUACUCAAAAGUUAAACACUGUAUGAGAUUGAAAAACUAAAAAAAAGUUAAACUGAAAUGUUAUUUAUGAAAUAUUGCAAAAAAGCUCUGAGAGUUUCACAAAGGAUAACUUUUGGUGUGCAGUUAAAAAUCAUGAAAGCUGUAAAAUGAAAAAACGUGUGAUUAGCUGCAUGAAGUAUGACAUUCAUUAAGUGCUAGCAUUUCAGGCCUUUUGGUUAGGUUUUAAAUUGGACGUAUAUUUAAGGAAAUUAGAUUUUAAAAGAUAAUUGGACUGUCAAUGCCAUUAGGAAACCAGAGCUAUGCAAUGCCAGAAAUGAUUUGCAUUUGCCAAAUCAAACUCUGCUGGAAUAGAUUUUGGAUUCAAUGCCGGGUGGAAGAUUUUGUUUUGUUUUUUACUUCCCAAGUUUCUCUUGCUCACUUUUGACUCAAACUACGAGCAUUUCCUUUCCCUGAUUAAGUAACUAUUGCCUUGUUUCUACAACCCUCUAGGGGAAUAAGAUUUGUUUUAAAUGAAAGAAAGUGAGCAUCAAUAUUGCAAAGAUGUCUAAAAGCCCAGGAUAGCCUCCCAUUUAGGCUAUGUCUACUCUGUACACCACUAGUGCUUUAAUCAGGACCAUAAAUAUGACAUGGAUUACAUGGAUUCAGACUGUCCUAUUCUGGACUACACUAUGUAUUUUAGAUGGGCAUUCCAUAGCUCUCUAGGGAAUUAGUCCUCAAGCAGAAAAGAUUUCUCUAAGCGGAUAGCAGCACCUGUUGAAGGCUCAAGACUGUUACUGCGGGCUCUGAAGAGAGUGAAACAGCUAUGCCAAUGGGGUUUCAGCAGGUGAUGUCCCAUUUGAAACUAAAGAUUAUCUAAUUCUCAGUUUGAUGCUGGGGUCUCUUUUGCAGCUGUGGCA